rnacentral:tRNA from 1 species
ACCUGGGUGGCUCAGUUGGUUAAGCGUCAGACUCUUGGUUUUGGCUCUGGUCAUGAUCUCACAGUUUGUGGGAUCAAGCCCCACCCUGGGCU